rnacentral:lncRNA from 1 species
AAAAAAACUUUGGGUAUUCUAUUUUAUCUACAGCUCUGCUUCUAGGGCUUGAGUUGUCCCUGUAUAUAUUUGAAUCUUCUUCUAGUUUAUGUAUUGUUGAAAUUGUAAUUUUCUCUCCAUUGGUUGGCAAUAAUAAAAUUACAUAGUUCAUCUGCCAAUCUUUCUACUUGUUUUCAAUCUUGUUCUUGUUCUUGUUUAUGUGAUCAAUACUUCAUAUCGUGUCAUACUUUCCUCUCCCUUUUUUCGAAACAAGUUGUAUCAAAGGUACGAUUAAGAGUUUUGUUUGAGGUUUCCGUUAUCGAUGGCAGUCAUGACGUAUAAUAUACCGCUUUUGGAUUGCAAUACAAGACUUUCGUUGUGGCAAGUGAAGAUGCGAGCCAUUUUGGCGCAGAUGAAUUUGAAUGAUGCAUUGUUGGGAUUUGACAAGAUACCCGUAACUUGAAUAGCAAAGAAGAAGCAACGGAAGGAUCGGAAGGCACUUUCCCAGAUUCAACUUCACCUAUCUAAUAACUGCAUUAUGGUUGAAACUGGAGCAACUGUGCAUGACCAAAAGUUUGUUAAGCAAGUUGCAUCUGAAGUAGAGGCUAUAUUUUCAUCGCAUGGCAGAAGGAAGAUCUUUGGAAGACCAUCUGGCCGUGUUCAAGGAAAUUGUUUUUGAUUUGAAAACAUUAGAAGUGAAACACGAUAAAGAGGAGUUAGCCUUGAUCCUGUUGUGCUUACCACCUACUUUAUUUUCGUCGUUCGAGACACGAUUUUGUACAGUCGUGACACACUCACCGUUGAAGACGUGUAUGAUACCUUGUUCUCAAAGGAGAAGAAGAAGUAUCUAGUUAGAUCCAAGUCCAGAGAUGUAUAGAUCCAAGUCCAGAGAUGUAGAAGGUCGUGUGGUUCAUGGUGAUUGACGAAGGGGUAAGUCGAUGGUGAAUUUCAACAAUCAAGUUUGUUUCUAUUGCAAGAGAAAAUGACACAUCAAGAGGGACCGCAAGAAGUUGUAGAAUAAGGGUAAUUCGUUUGCAAGUCAUAGGAGGCAACUAGAUAUUUUGGACAAGACCAACGUGGUUGAGGACUAUUUGGAUGGCAGAGAUGUGUUUACUAUUUCUGACAUGAAAUUCAAGCCUAACGAGGAAUCGAUUUCGGAUACAGUUUGUGCAUUCUAUACAUGUCCCAAUUAGGAUUUGUUUUAAGCAUAUGAAAUGGUGACGCAAGGUGUCGUUGUCAUGGGAAAUAAUGAACCUUGUCAGGUAGUUGGUAUUGGAGAGGUUAGAUUGAAGUUGAUGGAUAUGACAAUUAGAACACUUGGCCAAGUUCGACAUGUUCCAAAUUUGAAAAAGAAUCUUAUCUUGCUGAAUACCCUUGAUUCCAAAAGUAAUGAGUUCUCUGGAGGAGGUAGAAUUUUGAAGGUUUAGAAGGAUGUCCGUGUUGUAUUGAAGGGACGAAGAAGGUCCCGAUUAUACAUCUUGCAAGGUGGCAUAGAAUCGGUGAAACAUCAUUAGCACAAGUUUAAUACCGUGGUAGAUAUACAAUUUGGUACGGUACCUUUGGGAAUUGGCUUUGGGUCAUUAUUGAAGAACACUACUCGGAUGAGUUUAGAAGAUAUGGAUAAUAUUGCUUUGCCUCUCUUGUCUGCGGUGCCAUCGUGUUCAACUACUAGGGAAGAGCCCAUUAAGGAUCGGUACGGGGAUGCUGAUUUGAUUGCGUAUGCUAAUUGUAGUUUCGAAGAUGUCGAGACUAACAAGGGGCUUUCAGUUAAAAUGUCAUUUGAUAGAGGCUCGAAAAAAUUAUUUGGACCAAAACUUGUAUUUCACGUUAUUUACAUUCUAAAAUUAAUUACUUUCUUACUUUCUACUUAA